rnacentral:rRNA from 1 species
CCUACGGGUGGCAGCAGUGGGGAAUAUUGCACAAUGGGGGAAACCCUGAUGCAGCGACGCCGCGUGAGUGAAGAAGUAUUUCGGUAUGUAAAGCUCUAUCAGCAGGGAAGAAAAUGACGGUACCUGAUCAAGAAGCCCCUGCUAACUACGUGCAAGCAGCCGCGGUAAUACGUAGGGGGCAAGCGUUAUCCGGAUUUACUGGGUGUAAAGGGAGCGUAGACGGUGAUGCAAGUCAGAAGUGAAAGCCAGGGGCGCAACUCCGGGACUGCUUUUGAAACUGUGUAACUGGAGUGCAGGAGAGGUAAGCGGAAUUCCUGGUGUAGCGGUGAAAUGCGUAGAUAUCAGGAGGAACACCAGUGGCGAAGGCGGCUUACUGGACUGUAACUGACGUUGAGGCUCGAAAGCGUGGGGAGCAAACAGGAUUAGAUACCCCAGUAGUC